AAGAGCUCGAUCAGCGGCUCGAUUGAACGCUGGCGCGGCAGGCCUAACAGCGUCGAUCGGUAACAGGAACAGCUUGGUUGCUCUGCUGACGAGUGGCGGACGGGUGGAGUACCGUCUGGGAAACGCCUGAUGGAGGGGAUAACUACCGGAAACGGUAGCUAAUAAUCGUAUAACGUCGUAAGACCAAAGAGGGGACCUUUCGGGCCUCCGGCCAUCGGAUGCCCCAGAUGGGGAUUAGCGGUGGUGGGGUAACGGUUCGUUCAGCGACGAUCCCUAGCUGGUCUGAGAGGAUGACCAGCCACACUGGAACUGAGACACGGUCCAGACUCCUACGGGAGGCGGUAUUACGCAAUGGGCGCAAAGCCUGAUGCAGCCAUGCCGCGUGUAUGUACAAUUUCUACCAAAGUACCUUCAGCGGGUAUACGGGAGUAGUUACCUUUCAUUGACGUUACCCGCAGAAGGUUAACCAUAACCCCGCCAGCAUUGCGGUGUAAUAGCGAGGGUGCAAGGUUAAUCGGAAUUACUGGGCGCGCUGCACGCAUAUGGUUUGCUUAAGUCCUGGCCCAACCUGAACUGCACCAUGCCGCAAGCCGAAUUCUGUAGAGGGGUAGAAUUCCGUGUGUAAAGUGCGGAAAUGCGUAGAGAUCUGGAGGAAUACCGGUGGCGAAGGAAAAACCCUGACAAAGACCAUCAGGUGCGGAAAGCGUGGGGAGCAAAGUUAUGAUUAGAUAAUUCGGUAGUCCACGCCGUACCGACUUGAAAGGCCCGAGGCGUGGCUUCCGGGAGCCAACGCGUUAAGUCGACCGGUCAGAGCGUACGGUUCGUUAAACCCAAACGAAUUGACGGGGGCUCUACCGCUGGUGGAGCAUGUGGUUUAUCUGAUGCAAACGCGAAGAACCUUUACCUCGGUCUUGACAUCCACGAAGUUUCUACAGAGAAUGUGCCUUUCAACCGGAGAGAGGCCAUUGUCGUCAGUCAGGUUGUGGAAACGUUGGCUAAGUCCCGCAACGAGCGGCAACCUCUUAUCCCUUUGUCGCCAGCGUAUCCUGGCCGGGAACCUGUUAAAGCGAAAUUGCGCGAUAAACUGGAGGAAGGUGGGGAUGACGCUUCAGUCAUCAUGGCCCCAUGACCGUGGCUGCCAUGAUGCGCCACAAAUGGCGCAUGUACAAAGAGAAGCGACCCUGCAUAAUCCUCUAUAAAGUGCGUCAACUGAUUGAGCCCCAAACCCACCUAAGCGAAGUCAGAAUCGCUAGCAAUGGACCGAAUGCCACGGUGAAUAUGGUUCCCGGGCCUUUGUUACGUCCGCCCGUCACAAUCAUGGAGUGGGUUGGGUAAAAGAAGUAAUAACCUCUGGAUGUGGCGCCGCUUCACCACUUCCAGGAUUCGCGACCGUGCGGAAGUCGUAACAAGGUAACUGUAGGGGAACCUGCGGCUGAUCACCUCC
rnacentral:rRNA from 1 species